rnacentral:tRNA from 1 species
GCGGAUGUGGCCAAGUGGAUCAAGGCAGUGGAUUUG